AGCACGCGGAGGUGAACGAGAAACUAAGCACUAUGGCAGAACAAGAUGUGGAAAAUGAGCUUCUGGAUUAUGAGGAAGAUGAAGAGCCCCAGGCUCCUGCUGAGAGCACUCCCGCAUUACCAAAGAAAGAUGUGAAGGGCUCCUAUGUCUCCAUCCACAGCUCUGGCUUUCGGGACUUCCUGCUGAAGCCAGAGCUCCUGAGGGCCAUAGUGGACUGUGGCUUUGAGCAUCCCUCAGAGGUUCAGCAUGAGUGCAUCCCCCAGGCCAUCCUGGGCAUGGAUGUCCUGUGCCAGGCCAAGUCUGGAAUGGGCAAGACAGCAGUCUUCGUGCUGGCCACCCUACAGCAAAUUGAGCCUGUCAACGGCCAGGUGGCAGUUCUGGUCAUGUGUCACACAAGGGAGCUGGCCUUCCAGAUCAGCAAGGAAUACGAGCGUUUCUCCAAGUACAUGCCCAGCAUCAAGGUGUCUGUGUUCUUUGGAGGCCUCUCCAUCAAGAAGGAUGAGGAAGUACUGAAGAGAAACUGUCCUCACGUCGUGGUGGGAACCCCAGGCCGGAUCCUGGCACUCGUGAGAAACAGGACCCUCAACCUGAAGAACGUGAAGCACUUUGUGCUUGAUGAAUGUGACAAGAUGCUGGAGCAGCUAGAUAUGAGGCGGGACGUACAGGAGAUCUUCCGCCUGACACCCCAUGAGAAGCAGUGCAUGAUGUUCGGCGCCACUCUGAGCAAGGAGAUCCGGCCAGUCUGCAGGAAGUUCAUGCAGGAUCCCAUGGAGGUGUUUGUAGACGAUGAGACCAAGCUCACGCUGCACGGCCUGCAGCAGUACUACGUGAAGCUCAAGGACAGUGAGAAGAACCGCAAGCUGUUUGACCUCCUGGAUGUAUUAGAAUUUAACCAGGUGGUGAUCUUCGUGAAGUCCGUGCAGCGUUGCAUGGCCCUGGCCCAGCUCCUGGUGGAGCAGAACUUCCCGGCCAUCGCCAUUCACCGUGGCAUGGCACAGGAGGAGCGCCUAUCACGAUACCAGCAGUUCAAGGACUUCCAGAGGCGGAUCCUGGUGGCCACUAAUCUGUUUGGACGAGGGAUGGACAUUGAACGCGUCAACAUCGUCUUCAACUACGAUAUGCCCGAAGACUCAGACACUUACCUGCACCGGGUUGCCCAUGCAGGUCGCUUUGGUACCAAAGGCCUGGCCAUCACUUUUGUGUCUGAUGAGAAUGAUGCCAAAAUUCUUAAUGAUGUUCAAGACCGGUUUGAAGUUAAUGUGGCUGAGUUUCCAGAAGAGAUCAAUAUCUCCACAUACAUUGAACAGAGUCGGUAACCACGUUUCUGGAAGGCCAUCGCCAUCAUGCCCUGCCUGCUU